rnacentral:piRNA from 1 species
UGAGCGACCAUGUCCUAGGAACACAGAUC